UAGGGGUUCUGCAUCUCAUGAAGCAGCCGCA
rnacentral:piRNA from 1 species